rnacentral:rRNA from 1 species
AGUGAACGCUGGCGGUAGGCCUAACACAUGCAAGUCGAACGGCAGCACAGUAAGAGCUUGCUCUUACGGGUGGCGAGUGGCGGACGGGUGAGGAAUACAUCGGAAUCUACUUUUUCGUGGGGGAUAACGUAGGGAAACUUACGCUAAUACCGCAUACGACCUACGGGUGAAAGCAGGGGAUCUUCGGACCUUGCGCGAUUGGAUGAGCCGAUGUCGGAUUAGCUAGUUGGCGGGGUAAAGGCCCACCAAGGCGACGAUCCGUAGCUGGUCUGAGAGGAUGAUCAGCCACGCUGGAACUGAGACACGGUCCAGACUCCUACGGGAGGCAGCAGUGGGGAAUAUUGGACAAUGGGCGCAAGCCUGAUCCAGCCAUACCGCGUGGGUGAAGAAGGCCUUCGGGUUGUAAAGCCCUUUUGUUGGGAAAGAAAAGCAGCAGGUUAAUACCCCGCUGUUCUUACGGUACCCAAAGAAUAAGCACCGGCUAACUUCGUG